AAAAAGGAUGUUUUCACAUCCAUCUGUUCUAAGUAAAGAUUUUCU
rfam:Zostera marina strain Finnish scaffold_303, whole genome shotgun sequence.